CUGCGCAUGGCUCAUUAUAUAAGUUAUCGUUUAUUUGAUAGCACCUUGAUACUCGGAUAACUGUGGUAAUUCUAGAGCUAAUACGUGCUGAAAAUCCCGACUUCGGAAGGGUUGUAUUUAUUAGAUUAAAAACCAAUGCCCUUCUGGGCUUUCUGGUGAUUCAUGAUAACUUCUCGAAUCGCAUGGCCUUGCGCCGGCGAUGGCUCAUUCAAAUUUCUUCCCUAUCAACUUUCGAUGCGAGGGUCUUGUCUUCGCAUGGUUACAACGGGUAACGGAGGGUUAGGGCUCGACCCCGGAGAAGGAGCCUGAGAGACGGCUACUACAUCUAAGGAAGGCAGCAGGCGCGCAAAUUACCCAAUCCCGACACGGGGAGGUAGUGACAAUAAAUACUGAUACAGGGCUCUUUUGGGUCUUGUAAUCGGAAUGAGUACUAUUUAAAUCCCAUAACGAGGAACAAUUGGAGGGCAAGUCUGGUGCCAGCAGCCGCGGUAAUUCCAGCUCCAAUAGCGUAUAUUAAAGUUGUUGUGGUUAAAAAGCUCGUAGUUGAACCUUGGGCCUGGCUUGUCAGUCCCCCUCACCGGGUGCACUGAUCCAGCCGGGUCUUUCCCGCUGUGGAACCCCAUGGCCUUCACUGGCCGUGGCGGGGAAACAGGACUUUUACUUUGAAAAAAUUAGAGUGCUCCAGGCAGGCCUAUGCUCGAAUACAUUAGCAUGGAAUAAUACAAUAGGACGCGUGGUUCUAUUUUGUUGGUUUCUAGGACCGCCGUAAUGAUUAAUAGGGACAGUCGGGGGCAUCAGUAUUCAAUUGUCAGAGGUGAAAUUCUUGGAUCUAUUGAAGACUAACUACUGCGAAACCAUUUGCCAAGGAUGUUUUCAUUGAUAAGGAACGAAAGUUAGGGGAUCGAAGACGAUCAGAUACCGUGGUAGUCUUACCUAUAAACUAUGCCGACUAGGGAUCGGACGAUGUUAUUUUUUGACUCGUUCGGCACCUU
rnacentral:rRNA from 1 species